rnacentral:tRNA from 1 species
GCAAUAAUAGCUUAACAUAGAGCGUCGGUCUUGUAAGCCGAAAGUGAAUACUAAUGUUCUUAUUGCU